ACUGAACGCUGGCGGUAUACCUAACACAUGCAAGUCGAACGAGGUAGCAAUACCUAGUGGCGGACGGGUGAGGAAUACGUAGGGAUCUGCCCUUAAGUGGGGGAUAACCCGGGGAAACCCGGAUUAAUACCGCAUGAUCUCGCAAGAGCAAAGAGGGGGACCGCAAGGCCUCUCGCUUUUGGAGGAACCUACGUCGGAUUAGCUAGUUGGUGAGGUAAUGGCUCACCAAGGCGACGAUCCGUAACUGGUCUGAGAGGAUGAUCAGUCACACCGGAACUGAGACACGGUCCGGACUCCUACGGGAGGCAGCAGUGGGGAAUAUUGGACAAUGGGCGAAAGCCUGAUCCAGCAAUACCGCGUGUGUGAAGAAGGCCUUCGGGUUGGUUAAAGGAC
rnacentral:rRNA from 1 species